rnacentral:rRNA from 1 species
GACGAACGCUGGCGGCGUGCUUAACACAUGCAAGUCGAACGGUGAAAGCGGAGCUUGCUCCGCUGGAUCAGUGGCGAACGGGUGAGUAACACGUGGGCAACCUGCCCCUCACUUCGGGAUAACUCCGGGAAACCGGGGCUAAUACCGGAUAUGACCUCCUUGGGCAUCCUUGGAGGUGGAAAGUUUUUCGGUGAGGGAUGGGCCCGCGGCCUAUCAGCUUGUUGGUGAGGUAGUGGCUCACCAAGGCGACGACGGGUAGCCGGCCUGAGAGGGCGAGCGGCCACACGAGGACAGAGACGCGGCCCAGACUCCUACGGGAGGCAGCCGUGGGGAAUAUUGCCCAAUGGGCGCAAGCCUGACGCAGCAACGCCGCGUGCGGGAUGACGGCCUUCGGGUUGUAAACCGCUUUCAGCAGGGAAGAAGCCGCAAGGUGACGGUACCUGCAGAAGAAGCACCGGCUAACUACGUGCCAGCAGCCGCAGUAAAAC